rnacentral:rRNA from 1 species
CCCUAAAAGACGGUCUCAGUUCGGAUUGAAGGCUGAAAUUCGCCUUCAUGAAGCUGGAAUUGCUAGUAAUGGCAGGUCAGCAUACUGCCGUGAAUACGUUCCCGGGCCUUGUACACACCGCCCGUCACACCAUGAGAGUUGGAAAUACCCGAAGCCUGUGAGCUAACUGUAAAGAGGCAGCAGUCGAAGGUAGAGCCAAUGAUUGGGGUGAAGUCGUAACAAGGUAGC